CUCGCCCUCAUCCAGCCUGGACGCCCACAUGAUUUAGAAUUGGUGCAAAAUAGUAAGGGAGCAGUGUUCUUGAUCGACUUCAGGAAACCGUUUCUCAGAUGGCAAGGCUCCAGUGGCCAUGGGAAGAUGGAAUGGCACUCCGUGGUCACUCGGAGAUGGCAGUGCUGACCUCCGAUGCAGAUUCCAGGCCAUGUUUGGAGCUGGGCAUGCUGUUAUUUGAUACAUCUCUCAUCAGGUAAGUCCCCUUUUUGGAAUCAUUUCAGAGUAAGUCCCCUGCUCCCCCUGCCCCUGCCCCACAAAGAAUUUGUUGUUGCUUCCUCUGAGCUCCCAUAAGCCUCAGGGCAAGCUGCUAUUAUAGCAAUUAUAAUAUCCUAUUGUGCUGAUGCAUCUGUUUGUCUCCCUUCUUCAGAAAAAAGCUACUCCCCUUUGAGAUCAGGAGAAUGUGUUAUUGCAUUGCUUGUCUUUAGUCUCUGGUACAUUUUUAGCAUCGAAUUAAUAGCCAAUGAAAGUUUACUGAACUGAAAUGAUCUGAGAAAUUGUCUUAGUUUGGGUUCAUUUAUAAAAGGAACCUGAGAUAAAGUCUUGAGUGCCUAUGGUUUAUUUGGAAGAUGAUUCCAAAAGUGAGGGCUUGAGAAAGUGAUGUGAAAAUGGUAAAAACUCAGUAAGGGGUAGAUUGAGCUGGUAUCACCUUGAGCAAGUGAGGUUCAUUCCCUGUGAGAACCGUCUGAAAACCCGCAUAGCAUGUAACUCAUAAUUCCCCUCCACCUAAAGAGAGGCUGGGGCAUUUCUCUAUCCAUCCCUCUACCCAUCUAUAGUAAUGGUUGGCCUGGGAACAAUCCCCAUUAUUGUCUGGCUACCCCGACUGCAUGAGCUCCCAAGACUUUGGAGAUAGCAAGAGACAAAAACGCUGAUAGUCACACAGGACUGCUUGAGAUCAAAGCUAUCAGCACCUGAGGACCUGCCUAUCCCAGCUGCAGAUAAAGACUUAGGUGGGCUGUGGGUGGGGUAAAAUAGUAUCUACUUAAUCCCCAGGAAGUAUUUAUUGAACGAUUUGACUGAGGAACGACUGACUGAGGAAUGAACGAGAAGUCUUGUGAAGGUUGAGUGGAUGGACAAAUCAAGUCUGAUUAACAAACGUGCACAUAGAGUGCUGGAUUUCUUUCACUCCAGCUGAUAGGUAACUUCUUUAGGGGUCAUAGCAUAAGAAAACGCAGACCUACAAAGCCAAUUUGCAUCUGCAUAUGCGUGCAUCGAAGAAGUAGGGAGAUCAACAAGUUAUCUUUCUUGCUGCCUUGAGGAGUAAAGAGGGGCAUGCUUGCACGUUUUUGUAUAUUCAUGGGUGUGUGUCUGUUUAGUGUUCACAUUUAUAACCCUCAGACUUCUGGUGCCUCAUGUUAAGCUGUAGAAGUAAUUUUUAAAAACCUGUAUUACGCAACCUACAGAAUGGGAGAACAUUUUUGCCAUCUACCCAUCUGACAAAGGUCUAAUAUCCAGAAUCUACAAGGAACUUAAACAAACUUACAAGA
rnacentral:lncRNA from 1 species